rnacentral:rRNA from 1 species
UACAGGGGGGGCAAGCGUUGUUCGGAAUUACUGGGCGUAAAGGGCCAGUAGGCGGCCAACUAAGUCCGACGUGAAAUCCCCAGGCUUAACCUGGGAACUGCGUCGGAUACUGGAUGGCUUGAAUUCGGGAGAGGGAUGCAGAAUUCCAGGUGUAGCGGUGAAAUGCGUAGAUAUCUGGAGGAAUACCGGUGGCGAAGGCGGCAUCCUGGACCGACAUUGACGCUGAAUGGCGAAAGCUAGGGGAGCAAACGGGG